rnacentral:rRNA from 1 species
GGGUUGUGAGGUUAAGCGACUAAGCGUACACGGUGGAUGCCCUGGCAGUCAGAGGCGAUGAAGGACGUGCUAAUCUGCGAUAAGCGUCGGUAAGGUGAUAUGAACCGUUAUAACCGGCGAUUUCCGAAUGGGGAAACCCAGUGUGUUUCGACACACUAUCAUUAACUGAAUCCAUAGGUUAAUGAGGCGAACCGGGGGAACUGAAACAUCUAAGUACCCCGAGGAAAAGAAAUCAACCGAGAUUCUCCCAGUAGCGGCGAGCGAACGGGGAGCAGCCCAGAGCCUGAAUCAGUGUGUGUGUUAGUGGAAGCGUCUGGAAAGGCGCGCGAUACAGGGUGACAGCCCCGUACACAAAAUGCACAUGCUGUGAGCUCGAUGAGUAGGGCGGGACACGUGGUAUCCUGUCUGAAUAUGGGGGGACCAUCCUCCAAGGCUAAAUACUCCUGACUGACCGAUAGUGAACCAGUACCGUGAGGGAAAGGCGAAAAGAACCCCGGCGAGGGGAGUGAAAAAGAACCUGAAACCGUGUACGUACAAGCAGUGGGAGCACGCUUAGGCGUGUGACUGCGUACCUUUUGUAUAAUGGGUCAGCGACUUAUAUUCUGUAGCAAGGUUAACCGAAUAGGGGAGCCGAAGGGAAACCGAGUCUUAACUGGGCGUUAAGUUGCAGGGUAUAGACCCGAAACCCGGUGAUCUAGCCAUGGGCAGGUUGAAGGUUGGGUAACACUAACUGGAGGACCGAACCGACUAAUGUUGAAAAAUUAGCGGAUGACUUGUGGCUGGGGGUGAAAGGCCAAUCAAACCGGGAGAUAGCUGGUUCUCCCCGAAAGCUAUUUAGGUAGCGCCUCGUGAAUUCAUCUCCGGGGUAGAGCACUGUUUCGGCAAGGGGGUCAUCCCGACUUACCAACCCGAUGCAAACUGCGAAUACCGGAGAAUGUUAUCACGGGAGACACACGGCGGGUGCUAACGUCCGUCGUGAAGAGGGAAACAACCCAGACCGCCAGCUAAGGUCCCAAAGUCAUGGUUAAGUGGGAAACGAUGUGGGAAGGCCCAGACAGCCAGGAUGUUGGCUUAGAAGCAGCCAUCAUUUAAAGAAAGCGUAAUAGCUCACUGGUCGAGUCGGCCUGCGCGGAAGAUGUAACGGGGCUAAACCAUGCACCGAAGCUGCGGCAGCGACACUAUGUGUUGUUGGGUAGGGGAGCGUUCUGUAAGCCUGUGAAGGUGUGCUGUGAGGCAUGCUGGAGGUAUCAGAAGUGCGAAUGCUGACAUAAGUAACGAUAAAGCGGGUGAAAAGCCCGCUCGCCGGAAGACCAAGGGUUCCUGUCCAACGUUAAUCGGGGCAGGGUGAGUCGACCCCUAAGGCGAGGCCGAAAGGCGUAGUCGAUGGGAAACAGGUUAAUAUUCCUGUACUUGGUGUUACUGCGAAGGGGGGACGGAGAAGGCUAUGUUGGCCGGGCGACGGUUGUCCCGGUUUAAGCGUGUAGGCUGGUUUUCCAGGCAAAUCCGGAAAAUCAAGGCUGAGGCGUGAUGACGAGGCACUACGGUGCUGAAGCAACAAAUGCCCUGCUUCCAGGAAAAGCCUCUAAGCAUCAGGUAACAUCAAAUCGUACCCCAAACCGACACAGGUGGUCAGGUAGAGAAUACCAAGGCGCUUGAGAGAACUCGGGUGAAGGAACUAGGCAAAAUGGUGCCGUAACUUCGGGAGAAGGCACGCUGAUAUGUAGGUGAAGUCCCUCGCGGAUGGAGCUGAAAUCAGUCGAAGAUACCAGCUGGCUGCAACUGUUUAUUAAAAACACAGCACUGUGCAAACACGAAAGUGGACGUAUACGGUGUGACGCCUGCCCGGUGCCGGAAGGUUAAUUGAUGGGGUUAGCCGCAAGGCGAAGCUCUUGAUCGAAGCCCCGGUAAACGGCGGCCGUAACUAUAACGGUCCUAAGGUAGCGAAAUUCCUUGUCGGGUAAGUUCCGACCUGCACGAAUGGCGUAAUGAUGGCCAGGCUGUCUCCACCCGAGACUCAGUGAAAUUGAACUCGCUGUGAAGAUGCAGUGUACCCGCGGCAAGACGGAAAGACCCCGUGAACCUUUACUAUAGCUUGACACUGAACAUUGAGCCUUGAUGUGUAGGAUAGGUGGGAGGCUUUGAAGUGUGGACGCCAGUCUGCAUGGAGCCGACCUUGAAAUACCACCCUUUAAUGUUUGAUGUUCUAACGUUGACCCGUAAUCCGGGUUGCGGACAGUGUCUGGUGGGUAGUUUGACUGGGGCGGUCUCCUCCUAAAGAGUAACGGAGGAGCACGAAGGUUGGCUAAUCCUGGUCGGACAUCAGGAGGUUAGUGCAAUGGCAUAAGCCAGCUUGACUGCGAGCGUGACGGCGCGAGCAGGUGCGAAAGCAGGUCAUAGUGAUCCGGUGGUUCUGAAUGGAAGGGCCAUCGCUCAACGGAUAAAAGGUACUCCGGGGAUAACAGGCUGAUACCGCCCAAGAGUUCAUAUCGACGGCGGUGUUUGGCACCUCGAUGUCGGCUCAUCACAUCCUGGGGCUGAAGUAGGUCCCAAGGGUAUGGCUGUUCGCCAUUUAAAGUGGUACGCGAGCUGGGUUUAGAACGUCGUGAGACAGUUCGGUCCCUAUCUGCCGUGGGCGCUGGAGAACUGAGGGGGCUGCUCCUAGUACGAGAGGACCGGAGUGGACGCAUCACUGGUGUUCGGGUUGUCAUGCCAAUGGCACUGCCCGGUAGCUAAAUGCGGAAGAGAUAAGUGCUGAAAGCAUCUAAGCACGAAACUUGCCCCGAGAUGAGUUCUCCCUGACUCCUUGAGAGUCCUGAAGGAACGUUGAAGACGACGACGUUGAUAGGCCGGGUGUGUAAGCGCAGCGAUGCGUUGAGCUAACCGGUACUAAUGAACCGUGAGGCUUAACCUUACAACGCCGAAGGUGUUU